rnacentral:rRNA from 1 species
UACAGAGGUCUCGAGCGUUGUUCGGAUUCAUUGGGCGUAAAGGGUGCGUAGGCGGCGCGGUAAGUCGGAUGUGAAAUCUCGGAGCUUAACUCCGAAACUGCAUUCGAUACUGCCGUGCUUGAGGACUGGAGAGGAGACUGGAAUUUACGGUGUAGCGUUGAAAUGCGUAGAUAUCGUAAGGAAGACCAGUGGCGAAGGCGGGUCUCUGGACAGUUCCUGACGCUGAGGCACGAAGGCCAGGGGAGCAAACGGG